GGCUCUAACAGCUGGGUCAAAGAGUCUGGACUGAGUAUAAACUAUUGGAAUAAUUGCAGAUUAUUGCACAGGGAAAGGGUGUUUCUGAACAUUGCAUUGAGGAAGAUGUUUCUCUUUAUUGUUACAGGCUAGAUUGCAAGUUGGCUUUCUCAGGAUUCCCAAUCAUAUGUUUGCUUUUCCUUCUGUAAGUAUUCUGUCUGCUUCUGUCUGAGUCACAAAAUGUGAUUAUUAAUUCCAUAUGUUUUGUUCUUCAGGUGGCUUCCCUGGUAUCUCCAUACUUCGCCUGUAGGUCCACUUUCACUCAUCUUCAGUGAAAGCAGGAAGGGCCCAAGGACCACCCUGCAUAACAAAGUUGAAGGAAACAGGAAUGCUCAAAAGCACUGCCCAUCUCCGACCCUGCCGUUCACAGCUUCCUCACCUGGGAUUGUUGCUCAGCGUCCAUGGAUGGACUUCAGAGGCGUGUGUGACAUUUUCCUGAGGUUGGCUGGACAGAAGACACAAUUCUUGAGGUUCAAGGAACUGCUAAAGGAGAACUGUGGCCCCCACGAGUCUGUAUCUUCAAGAAGUCUGUGGAUAGAAAGAAGCAGCAGAAGCUGGAGAUCCUUCUUACCGGUGGCAAGCUUCGGAGUAUUAAGGUUAGCAGGCCAGAGGCAGUUUUCUUGAAGACAUCUAUACCUAAAAUUCCAGCAGUUGCCACCAGGUGCCUCAGUGCUGAUUUCGCUUUGGGUCAUCUAAAGAGAGCAGGAGAGGUAUGCAAUCUUGUCCAUUGAUGCACUUUCAAAUGGUUAGAAAAAGUGCCAUUAUUUUAAAGCACAUUUUCUGAUGUAGGUUUGACUAUUAAAAAACACAUAUGCCAUCAGGCAAAAGCCCUUUAAACCUUUGUUGUGGUAGUUGUAGUAGCAAAGGGAGUGAGUGGAGAAUAUGAU
rnacentral:lncRNA from 1 species